UACGUAGGGACCGAGCGUUGUCCGGAUUCAUUGGGCGUAAAGAGCUCGUAGGCGGCCAUUCAAGUCAGACGUGAAAUCCCCCGGCUUAACCUGGGAACUGCGUCUGAUACUGGACGGCUUGAGUAUGGGAGAGGGAUGUAGAAUUCCAGGUGUAGCGGUGAAAUGCGUAGAUAUCUGGAGGAAUACCGGUGGCGAAGGCGGCAUCCUGGACCAUUACUGACGCUGAGGCGCGAAAGCUAGGGGAGCAAACGGG
rnacentral:rRNA from 1 species